rnacentral:rRNA from 1 species
GACGAACGCUGGCGGCGUGCUUAACACAUGCAAGUCGAACGGAAAGGCCCUGCUUUUGUGGGGUGCUCGAGUGGCGCACGGGUGAGUAACACGUGAGUAACCUGCCCUUGACUUUGGGAUAACUUCAGGAAACUGGGGCUAAUACCGGAUAGGAGCUCCUGCUGCAUGGUGGGGGUUGGAAAGUUUCGGCGGUUGGGGCUGGUCUCGCGGCUUAUCCGCUUGUUGGUGGGGUAGUGGCUUACCAAGGCUUUGACGGGUAGCCGGCCUGAGAGGGGGACCGGCCACAUUGGGACUGAGAGACGGACCAGACGCCUACGGGAGGCAGCAGGGGGGAGUAUUGCACAAUGGGCGGAAGCCAGAGGCAGCAACGCCGCGUGCGGGAUGACGGCCUUCGGGUUGUAAACCGCUUUCGCCGGUGACGAAGCGUGAGUGACGGUAAUGAGUAAAGAAGCACCGGCUAACUACGUG